rnacentral:rRNA from 1 species
GACAGAGGAUGCAAGCGUUAUCCGGAAUGAUUGGCGUAAAGCGUCUGUAGGUGGCUUUUUAAGUCCGCCGUCAAAUCCCAGGGCUCAACCCUGGACAGGCGGUGGAAACUACCAAGCUGGAGUACGGUAGGGGCAGAGGGAAUUUCCGGUGGAGCGGUGAAAUGCGUAGAUAUCGGGAAGAACACCAAAGGCGAAAGCGCUCUGCUGGGCCGAAACUGACACUGAGAGACGAAAGCUAGGGGAGCGAAUGGG